GUUAUAGUUUAUUUGAUGGUCUUUACUACAUGGAUAACCGUGGUAAUUCUAUGGCUAAUACAUGCGCACAUGCCUCUUCCCCUGGAAGGGCAGUGUUUAUUAGAUACAGAACCAACCCACCUUCCGGUGGUCCUCAGGUGAUUCAUAGUAACCGAACGGAUCGCGUUGACUUCGGUCUGCGACGGAUCAUUCAAGUUUCUGACCUAUCAGCUUUCGACGGUACUGUAUUGGA
rnacentral:rRNA from 4 species